rnacentral:rRNA from 1 species
GAUGAACGCUAGCUACAGGCUUAACACAUGCAAGUCGAGGGGCAGCGGGGAUCUAGCUUGCUAGAUUUGCCGGCGACCGGCGCACGGGUGAGUAACACGUAUCCAACCUGGCCCAUACUCGGGUAUAGCCUCUCGAAAGGGAGAUUAAUCCCCGAUGUUGUUGUUUCACCGCAUGGUGUUGCAACCAAAGAAUUUCGGUAUGGGAUGGAGAUGCGUUCCACUAGCUUGUUGGCGGGGUAACGGCCCACCAAGGCGACGAUGGAUAGGGGUUCUGAGAGGAAGGUCCCCCACACUGGAACUGAGACACGGUCCAGACUCCUACGGGAGGCAGCAGUGAGGAAUAUUGGUCAAUGGGCGAGAGCCUGAACCAGCCAAGUAGCGUGAAGGAUGACUGCCCUACGGGUUGUAAACUUCUUUUGUUUGGGAAUAAAGUUCAGCACGUGUGCUGUUUUGUAUGUACCAUUCGAAUAAGCAUCGGCUAAUUCCGUGCCAGCAGCCGCCGUAAUAC